rnacentral:rRNA from 1 species
GUGGGGAAUUUUGGACAAUGGGCGCAAGCCUGAUCCAGCCAUUCCGCGUGCAGGAUGAAGGCCUUCGGGUUGUAAACUGCUUUUGUACGGAACGAAAAGCCUCUGGUUAAUACCCGGGGGUCAUGACGGUACCGUAAGAAUAAGCACCGGCUAACUACGUGCCAGCAGCCGCGGUAAUACGUAGGGUGCGAGCGUUAAUCGGAAUUACUGGGCGUAAAGCGUGCGCAGGCGGUGAUGUAAGACAGUUGUGAAAUCCCCGGGCUCAACCUGGGAACUGCAUCUGUGACUGCAUUGCUGGAGUGCGGCAGAGGGGGAUGGAAUUCCGCGUGUAGCAGUGAAAUGCGUAGAUAUGCGGAGGAACACCGAUGGCGAAGGCAAUCCCCUGGACCUGUACUGACGCUCAUGCACGAAAGCGUGGGGAGCAAACAGGAUUAGAUACCCUAGUAGUCC